UGGGGAAUAUUGGACAAUGGGCGCAAGCCUGAUCCAGCCAUGCCGCGUGAGUGAUGAAGGCCUUAGGGUUGUAAAGCUCUUUCGCCAGGGACGAUAAUGACGGUACCUGGAUAAGAAGCCCCGGCUAACUUCGUGCCAGCAGCCGCGGUAAUACGAAGGGGGCUAGCGUUGUUCGGAAUUACUGGGCGUAAAGCGUAUGUAGGCGGAUCUUUAAGUCAGGGGUGAAAUCCCGAGGCUCAACCUCGGAACUGCCUUUGAUACUGGGGAUCUUGAGUCCGGGAGAGGUGAGUGGAACUGCGAGUGUAGAGGUGAAAUUCGUAGAUAUUCGCAAGAACACCAGUGGCGAAGGCGGCUCACUGGCCCGGUACUGACGCUGAAAUACGAAAGCGUGGGGAGCAAACAGGAUUAGAUACCCCUGUAGUCC
rnacentral:rRNA from 1 species